CCUACGGGAGGCAGCAGUGGGGAAUAUUGCACAAUGGGGGAAACCCUGAUGCAGCGACGCCGCGUGAGUGAAGAAGUAUUUCGGUAUGUAAAGCUCUAUCAGCAGGGAAGAAAAUGACGGUACCUGACUAAGAAGCCCCGGCUAACUACGUGCCAGCAGCCGCGGUAAUACGUAGGGGGCAAGCGUUAUCCGGAUUUACUGGGUGUAAAGGGAGCGUAGGUGGCAUGGUAAGCCAGAAGUGAAAACGCAGGGCUCAACUCUGUGGAUUGCUUUUGGAACUAUCAAGCUAGAGUGCUGGAGGGGUAAGCGGAAUUCCUAGUGUAGCGGUGAAAUGCGUAGAGAUUAGGAGGAACACCGGUGGCGAAGGCGGCUUACUGGACAGAAACUGACACUGAGGCUCGAAAGCGUGGGGAGCAAACAGGAUUAGAUACCCCUGUAGUC
rnacentral:rRNA from 1 species